rnacentral:rRNA from 1 species
UACGUAGGGAGCAAGCGUUGUCCGGAAUUACUGGGCGUAAAGGGCGCGUAGGUGGGUGCUUAAGUCAGGUGUGAAAACUCUGGGCUCAACCUGGAGACUGCACUUGAAACUGGGUAUCUUGAGGGCAGGAGAGGAAAGUGGAAUUCCUAGUGUAGCGGUGAAAUGCGUAGAUAUUAGGAGGAACACCAGUGGCGAAGGCGACUUUCUGGACUGUACCUGACGCUGAGGCGCGAAAGCGUGGGUAGCGAACG